UACGUAGGUGGCUAGCGUUGUCCGGAUUUACUGGGCGUAAAGAGCGCGCAGGCGGUCGUUCAAGUCGAGUGUGAAAGCCCCCGGCUCAACUGGGGAGGGUCACUCGAUACUGAUCGACUCGAAGGCAGGAGAGGGAAGCGGAAUUCCCGGUGUAGUGGUGAAAUGCGUAGAUAUCGGGAGGAACACCAGUGGCGAAGGCGGCUCUCUGGCCUGCUCUUGACGCUGAGGCGCGAAAGCUAGGGUAGCAAACGGG
rnacentral:rRNA from 1 species